CGCUGAGAAGCUUUUAUAGCAUUAACCUUUUAAGUUAAAGAAGAAAACCUUUCCUUAGCGG
rnacentral:tRNA from 1 species